rnacentral:rRNA from 1 species
GGUGCGGCCGGGCCCUAACACAUGCAAGUCGAGCGGUAAGAGAGGUGCUUGCACCUCUUGAGAGCGGCGGACGGGUGAGUAAUACCUAGGAAUCUGCCUGGUAGUGGGGGAUAACGUUCGGAAACGGACGCUAAUACCGCAUACGUCCUACGGGAGAAAGCAGGGGACCUUCGGGCCUUGCGCUAUCAGAUGAGCCUAGGUCGGAUUAGCUAGUUGGUGAGGUAAUGGCUCACCAAGGCUACGAUCCGUAACUGGUCUGAGAGGAUGAUCAGUCACACUGGAACUGAGACACGGUCCAGACUCCUACGGGAGGCAGGCAGUUGGGGGAAUUAUUUGGAACCAAUGGGCGAAAAGCCCUGAUCCCAGCCAUUGCCGACGUGGUGUGAAGAAGGGUCUUCGGAUUGUUAAAGCACUUUAAGUUGGGAGGAAAGGGCAUUAACCUAAUACGUUAGUGUCCUUGACGUUACCGACAGAAUAAGCACCGGCUAACUCUGUGCCAGCAGCCCGCGGUAAUACAGAGGGUGCAAGCGUUAAUCGGAAUUACUGGGCGUAAAGCGCGCGUAGGUGGUUUGUUAAGUUGAAUGUGAAAUCCCCGGGCUCAACCUGGGAACUGCAUCCAAAACUGGCAAGCUAGAGUAUGGUAGAGGGUAGUGGAAUUUCCUGUGUAGCGGUGAAAAUGCGUAGAUAUAGGAAGGAACACCAGUGGCGAAGGCGACUACCUGGACUGAUACUGACACUGAGGUGCGAAAGCGUGGGGAGCAAACAGGAUUAGAUACCCUGGUAGUCCACGCCGUAAACGAUGUCAACUAGCCCGUUGGGAACCUUGAGUUCUUAGUGGCGCAGCUAACGCAUUAAGUUGACCGCCUGGGGAGUACGGCCGCAAGGUUUAAAACUCAAAAUGAAUUGACGGGGGCCCGCACAAGCGGUGGAGCAUGUGGGUUUAAUUUCGAAGCAACGCGAAGAACCCUUUACCAGGCCUUGACAUUCCAAUGAACUUUCCAGAAGAUGGAUUGGUGCCUUUCUGGGAACAUUGAGACAGGGUGCCUGCAUGGCCUGUCGUCAAGCCUCGUGGUUCGUUGAGAUGGUUGGGUUUAUAGUUCCCCGUUAACCGAGCGCACACCCUUUGUUCCUUAGUUACCAGCACGUAAUGGUGGGCACUCUAAGGAGACUGCCGGUGACAAACCGGAGGAAGGUGGGGAUGACGUCAAGUCAUCAUGGCCCUUACGGCCUGGGCUACACACGUGCUACAAUGGUCGGUACAAAGGGUUGCCAAGCCGCGAGGUGGAGCUAAUCCCAUAAAACCGAUCGUAGUCCGGAUCGCAGUCUGCAACUCGACUGCGUGAAGUCGGAAUCGCUAGUAAUCGUGAAUCAGAAUGUCACGGUGAAUACGUUCCCGGGCCUUGUACACACCGCCCGUCACACCAUGGGAGUGGGUUGCACCAGAAGUAGCUAGUCUAACCCUCGGGAGGACGGUACCACGGUGGAUACGUG